UUUGUUUUGGUUGAUAGGAUCGCGGACAGAUCAUUGUUGUGGACUGUCUGAGUUUUUAAAGAAAAGUGUCGGAGGGCGAAGGAUUGCGGCAACAAAAAAAUACGCACUGCUUUACGGUACCUGGUCCCCCGACAACGACCAACCAAGCGGCGGCGGACGUGGUACGGAGGACGCUUCUAGAAACCU